rnacentral:rRNA from 1 species
AACGAACGCUGGCGGCAGGCCUAACACAUGCAAGUCGAACGCCCUAGCAAUAGGGAGUGGCAGACGGGUGAGUAACACGUGGGAACCUUCCCUAUAGUACGGAAUAGCCCAGGGAAACUUGGAGUAAUACCGUAUACGCCCGAAAGGGGAAAGAUUUAUCGCUAUAGGAUGGGCCCGCGUAGGAUUAGCUAGUUGGUGAGGUAAUGGCUCACCAAGGCGACGAUCCUUAGCUGGUUUGAGAGAACGACCAGCCACACUGGGACUGAGACACGGCCCAGACUCCUACGGGAGGCAGCAGUGGGGAAUAUUGGACAAUGGGCGCAAGCCUGAUCCAGCCAUGCCGCGUGAGUGAUGAAGGCCUUAGGGUUGUAAAGCUCUUUUGCCGGGGACGAUAAUGACGGUACCCGGAGAAUAGGUCCCGGCUAACUUCGUGCCAGCCGCCGCAGUAAU